rnacentral:rRNA from 1 species
UACGGGGGGGGCAAGCGUUGUUCGGAAUUACUGGGCGUAAAGGGCGCGUAGGCGGUUGGAUAAGUCAGCUGUGAAAACCACGGGCUUAACUCGUGGCCUGCAGUUGAGACUGUCUGGCUUGAGUGUGGGAGAGGAGAGUGGAAUUCCUGGUGUAGCGGUGAAAUGCGUAGAUAUCAGGAGGAACACCGAUGGCGAAGGCAGGUCUCUGGGCAUUAACUGACGCUGAGGAGCGAAAGCAUGGGGAGCGAACAGG